rnacentral:lncRNA from 1 species
UCAAUGGUCCUCCUACAUAGUGAAAAAUAAUAUAUUAAUUAAUAAAAAUGAAAUAAUAUAAAAUAUGUACAGAAAUCAUGUAAUUAAGCACAAUUUCACAUACUUUAUAAAUUCAUACCCAAUAUUACUGAUUAAGUAAAAUUCACUUAUUUUAAUAACAAUUACUCAAGAAAAACAUAUUUAUUAAGUAAAAAUGUGGUAAAAAUAUAUAGAAAAACCCUAUAUAAUUUCAAGUUUAC